rnacentral:rRNA from 1 species
CAGGAUGAACGCUAGCGGCAGGCUUAACACAUGCAAGUCGAGGGGCAGCGGGAUGUAGCAAUACAUUGCCGGCGACCGGCGGAUGGGUGCGUAACGCGUAUGCAACCUACCUUAUACAGGGGAAUAGCCUUUCGAAAGGGAGACUAACACCCCAUAGUAUUGAUUUAAGGCAUCUUAGAUUAAUUAAAUAUUUAUAGGUAUAAGAUGGGCAUGCGUAUGAUUAGCUAGUUGGUAAGGUAACGGCUUACCAAGGCGACGAUCAUUAGGGGUUCUGAGAGGAAGGUCCCCCACACUGGUACUGAGACACGGACCAGACUCCUACGGGAGGCAGCAGUGAGGAAUAUUGGUCAAUGGGCGCAAGCCUGAACCAGCCAUGCCGCGUGCCAGGAAGACGGCCUUAUGGGUUGUAAACUGCUUUUACAUAAGACUAACCGUAUAUUUGCGAAUAUACCUGAAUGUAUUAUGAGAAUAAGGAUCGGCUAACUCCGUGCCAGCAGCGGC